CUAGAGCACCUUUUUAACCCUUUGAAGCAUAACAUUGGUCAAAAGUGACUCAAAUCCAGUGGGAAGUUGCAUCUCCUGAUGCAGUCUUUACACCAAAGGGUUAAAGAUUAAAUCCGAUUUUCUGCUAAACAGAAGAAGUGGCUGUCAUCAGAUCCCAUUUCAGUUGUUCAGGCUGUUGUGGCUGUAAAUGGUGUAAGUUCUACAAAUUAUGAUCCAGAUCCCAACCUGCUGGUGGCGGUAAUGAGACACUGUUUGCCAACCACCGAAGAAGACGUUAGCUGUUAGCCGUUAGCCGGCGCAGCGUCACCAGGCAGCAGGGAGACGGUAGCCGUCUCUGAGGUGGGUUUGUCGGUGAGAUGCAACGGGUCAGUCCGGAGGCGGAGCUGCGGACUCUGGCGGAGUGCCGGUACAGCUUCCCGGCAGAGACGCUCUCAGACCUGCGGGAGGUUCGGGCUCGGUUCUCCGACCUGCGGCUCUACGUCGACUUUUACUGUUUUCCAAACAAAGAGAAGAAGAAGCUGGUUUAUCUGGCUGGAACACUUCCUGUUUACUACGAAGGAGCUGAGUAUAACAUCCCAGUGUGCAUCUGGCUCCAUGAGACCCACCCCGUGUCCCGUCCUCGCUGCUAUGUCUGUCCAUCCGUCGCCAUGGUGAUCAAUCCGUCCUGUCCCUACGUGGACGCCUCCGGAAACAUCAGCGUGGAUGCACUCAGCAAGUGGUCUCAGGGCAUGUCCAACCUGUCACGGCUCGUGUCAGAGAUAAGGCGGGCAUUCCAGAAGGACACGCCUCUCUUCUCCAGGCAGCAUGUUCAAGCCUCACCUCCUGCAGGUGUCCAGGUGUUCCAGUCAGCUGACAGCGUCCUCUCAUCCUCCUCAUCCCAACACCAUGUCUCUCCGUCCUCGUCUCAUCUGUCUGGACCUGCAGCCAGCCAAUUGGAGCUGUGCAGGACUGUAAGGGUGGGGCGUUCAUACACCGAGGACCUGCUGGGCAUCGACUUCAGCGCUCCUCCUCCAUCACCCUCCGACAACAACCCCUUCAUUAGCACCUCCCUUUCAGGUGCCCCCCUUGAAGAUCUUCUCACCAGGCAAAUGGGAGAUCUGAGGCUGGAUGGAGAGUCCAGCAGAGACCAGGCUGAGGCACCUGUCCACAUCAUCCAAUCAGAAACAGCCAGAGACAGACACACUGAUGAUUCUGGUCCAGGACCUGGACAGGGUCAGGACCUCUAUCCACUCAAACCUUCAUCCAGACCAGGAGCAGACCUUAUCAAGAUGGCGUCCCGGCUCCCUCCGGACCAGGCAGCGGUGUUUCUGUCUCUAAUGGCGAUGGAGGGGCGGAGCUUCAUCCCGACUGAUGUCAUAGAGGCAGUCCAGCUCAACAGAGACUUCCAGUCAGCUCUGAGGUUUCUGAGUCACAGCUGCCCCAUCUGCCAGGAACAGGUGUCCUUCAGCAAGAUCAUCAUGAUGACUCACUGCUCCUGCUUCCUGUGUCAGUCGUGUUUCAAGUUGUUUUUCUUGGCGGCCAUUAAAGAGCGCAGCGUGGAUCAGCUGGUUUGUCCUCAGUGUGGACAACCGGAGGUCCGAGGACCGGGAGGGCUGGAGGGGUCUAUGGACUACUUCAAUCUGCUGGACACACAGAUUCGUCACUUUCUGCCUCUUGAGAUCCAUGAGCUCUUCCAGAGGAAGCUCAGAGACCGAGCCCUGCAGGAGAUGCCCAACUUCUGCUGGUGUGCUCACUGUUCCUUUGGGAUGCUCCAUGAGGCUGACAGCUUGAGGAUGGACUGUCCCAGCUGUAAGAAGAGCACCUGCUCUAAAUGCAGAUCACCUUGGUUUCCUCAGCAUCAGAGUCUCUCCUGUGAGCAGUUCAGAGUUUGGAAACAGAAGAACCAACCAGAUCAUCACAGCAGUCCCCUGCUGUACAGCAGCAUUGAGUGUCCAAACUGCCAGCUGGUCUUCAGUCUGUCUAAAGGAGGAUGUCUUCACUUCAUCUGCAGUCAGUGUCAACAUCAGUUCUGCGGUGGAUGCAGUCAGCGCUUCUCUCUGGGAUCUGCCUGCGGUUUCUCUGUUGACUGUGGAAGUAAAGGUCUUCAUGCUCACCACCCCAGAGACUGCCUUUACCACCUGAGAGACUGGAGUAUCACCCGCCUUCACCUGUUGCUACAGCAUUACAGAGUGUCUCCCUCCUGGUUGGAAGCAGCCAAUGGUAGCCCACCUGACAUCGGUCUGGCAGCAGUGUGUUUGGUUUUGGAGCUGAGACACGACGGCAACAGACAGGAGGAGCCCUGUGGUCGACCUGCUCUACCUGAAUACAGAGGAUACUGCCACAGGUUGCACUAUAAGGAGCGUUUGGUGGAGUUGAUCAACCGUUGCCGUGCCGACCCUGCAGUCCUGCUCAGUCUGGCUGAGAUGACGGCGGAGCUGCAACGCUGGCAGGUUGCCGUGCCGACCAGGAAACCUGAUGAACCGGAGGAACUGUACGCACACCGACUCCGCCUGACAUGUUGAUGGCUGCAGAGAAACACAUGAUGACAGGAAACACCUUCACCUGGCAGCAGGUGUGUAGCCGCCCGCUGUUACCCGUGAACCGGAAUGCUCAGGACGUUCUUCAGGCUGCAGAAGAUUCUGUCCAUGGCUUCGGGGGCUCUGCUGGAUCCGAACUCUGUGGCCACGAUGGACUGCUGGAUGUCUGCGGAGAACAACAGCAGGUUCUUCAGGAGAACGCUUCUUGUUCUCAGAACAGCAUCUGAUCUCCAGACCUGUCUAAUCAUCUGAACUGUCUUCAAACAGAAACCUCCAGCGGUUGUCCGUUGCAGAACGCUCCCUUCCCCCUCCUGGCGGUGAACAUCUUGUCUUCCAGACAGCUGUAGACGACACCAAACUCUACCUGAAGGAGCAGGAAGGUGGAAGCAGCUCAGACUGGAGCAGGACCAGCAUAAUGAAUCCUAGAGUUAGAGAUUACAGGUAGGUCAACUGAGAACCAGUUCUCAUCUACAAUAACGACCUGGGCAAGAGUCAAUAUUAGCUCCAGUACUGCGUUAGCUGUUGUAAAUCCCUUUACGGUUCAGGUCAGAACCUGCUGCAACUAUGAAGUGUGCUGAGUUUCCAACAGAAUUCUCCAUGAAUUUAAAGUGUGCUGACUGAAUAUACCGUGAGGAGGUUGUCCAUCAUCACCUGGGAGUUCAUCAGCAGAGCUGGAACUGAAACAUUUUGAUUUCUACAUAUUUUCAUUUAAACACAGUGAAGUUCUAAGUUCUCUGUCGACUGUUCUGGAAGGAUCGUUGGUGCUGCAGUCAGAGAAACAGUUCAGGAACAUCUGAGAUUUUGAUGUGGACCUUUUGUGGUAUUAAUAGAAACAAAAUCUAGCGACUGUGGGACUGGGAUGAGGACGUUCUACAUGUUCCAGCUGAUGUUCUGCUGGGAGCUCACAGUAGAAUACUAAAUAGAACAUGGUUCACCUGAGAGCACUGAAGCAGUCGUCAUGCUUCCCACCUGCAUGGAGGAAAACGAGCCAUCAGGACAUCUGGACGACAGAAUCCAACAGAACCUGGGCUGACUGACCCAAACUGGAAAAUAAAUCUCUAAACGGAUAAAAACAGACUUUCAUAGAACCAGAACCACAUUUCUAUACAGUGCUGUGAAAAAAAGUACUGGUUUUAAAGUGCUGAUUUAAUUUAUUGGAGGUAAAAUUUUAUCCAGUCUGUCCCGUUCUAUGUGAAAAAGUAAUCACUCCCUGAGCUACCAAUCCACCAAAGGACCAGGUUCAGUCAUUAUUGGGUUCAGGUUAUCCAUCCGGACCUUCAGAUGGUUCCUGCCGGCUGGUUGGAUCUCAACAUCUCUAAGUAGAACCCGUCCUCAUUGUGAAGCAGCUGAAGGGUCUCAGAAAGCAGAACAUGAUGCCAAGUUCUACAGAGAUCCAAGAACAGAUGAAGUCGUUGACAUCCAUCAGUCUGGAGGUUCCAAAGCCACUGCUGAUGUUCUGGGAUUCCAGAGAACCUCAGUGAGAGACGUUAUCCAUGAAGUCCAGACUUUAAUAUUAUUGAUGCUGUGAUAAGACCUGAGAAGAUCAGCUGAUGAUCUAAAACCAUCUGAAGUGACUGAAUCUAAACUGUUCUACAGAGAAGAGCGGACCAAUGUUCCUCCAUGGAUGUAGAAGAUAAUCACAGCUGGAACAAACAUCUACCUGCUGCUGCCGAACCAGUCAUCAGGUUCAGGAGGUGAUUACUUUUACACAGAGGGAUAGAGGUUCUCAAUAAAUAAACCCUCAAAAACUACAUUUAAUGUUUUGUGGUUUAUCUCCGUCUAAUAAAUAAAUAUUAAUGUCUGAUGAUCUGGAACAUUUAAAUAUGAGAAACAUGUAAAAAAAAUAGAAGAUUUGUGUAAAUACUUGAUCACAGCUCUGUUCUUCAUUUGUGACAUUCGGGGUUUUAGUUGUGGAGUCGGUGAUGGACUGUUUGCACUGAUCAUUGUUUCUCUUUAACACAUGGAAGAAGGUUCAUUUAGAGCUGAAGGCUUUUUUCAGGAGACACUGACUUGGUCUUCAACAAUCUGGUUUCUAUUCAUUUUCUGUCUAACCAGCUGUGAUCAUCAGUAUUAUGGGAUGUAUCCUAGACAUCAUCAGUAUUAUGGGAUGUAUUCUAGUGUGAACUAUUUGGAGUCCUAGAAACAAUCAUUGUUUCCCUGGAUGUGUUUCUGUUUCUGAUAAUCCACCAGAGAAAACUUUAAAAAGGUGAUUGUGGAUAAACUUCAAUGUUGGUAGGAAGUUGAUCAGAAAUAUUAGAGACGAUGGAAGAAGAAGAAACCAGGAUCAUCUGGAGACAGCAAUUCUUUUGUUUCCUUCAUGUUCUUCUUGGUACACUGAGGCUGUAACAUGAUAUUAAGAUGGAAUAAUGAAUGUAGAAGAUGUUUGUAGGUGUUGGUGCAGAAAACAGAUCAACACAUAUUAAUGAACCUCCUGUUGACCAAACACUUCCUCAGUGAGAAGGUCAGACUUGUACAUCUGUGAGAGAUUUCAGAAACAUUUCAUUGUUCCAGCUGUGUGACACUGAUUCAGACUCUUCAACCCUGAAGCUCUUCACUUUGUCAUAUUUGCAGUACGUUUAUUUAUUUGUUAGAAUGUGUUCUUUUGCGGUCUUAGAUUGUUCCUCACCACCAGCUGAAAGAAUAGAACCAUUUUAUGCACCUUAGCAAUGGCACUGAUGACAGCUUCGUUCUCAUCACCAGGAACCUUUUUGCUUGAUUAUUGAUUCUUUAAAUCAUUAGUCCUUUAGUCAGUAGCUUAGAGGAUGACAGCUGUCAUUUUUAUUAAACUAUUUGGUGUUCUGUCACAAUAAUUCAAAUAAAUCAUGUAAAAUAA